rnacentral:rRNA from 1 species
GAUGAACGCUGGCGGCGUGCCUAAUACAUGCAAGUCGAGCGAACAGACGAGGAGCUUGCUCCUCUGACGUUAGCGGCGGACGGGUGAGUCACACGUGUAUAACCUACCUAUAAGACUGGGAUAAUUUCGGGAAACGGGAGCUAAUACCGGAUGAUAUAUUGAACCGCGUUGUUCAAUAGUGAAAUACGGUUUUUCUGUCACUUAUAGCGGGAUCCGCGCCGCAUGAGCUAGUUGUUAAGGAAAAGGCUUACCAAGGCAACGAUGCGUAGCCGACCUGAGAGGGGGAUCGCCGACCUGGGAAGGGAGACAGGGUCAAGACUCCUGCGGUAGGCCGCAGUCGGGAAUCUGACGCAAAGGGGGAGAACUUGACAGAGCAACGCCGCGUGAGUGAUGAUGGUCCUCGGAUCGGAAAGCUCUGUUAUUAGGGAAGAACAAAUGUGUAAUUAACCGUGCCGGUAUUGACGGUACCGGGUCAAAAAGCCACGGCUAACUACGUG